rnacentral:lncRNA from 1 species
AUGUGCCGAAUCCGGAAGGAAAACAUGUGCCACCUUCACCUGUUCACUCUCCUCCUUGGAGCAUCUUGCUGCACCAUCUGCACACAAAGCGAGUCACCUGCUCAAGAACACAAUCUCCCAACUCCCUUUUCUGUACAAUCAUCAGCUUCGUUAAACACAUUUCACAAAAGAUCAAAAGUAAAUGAAGCAUCAUCAAACACGACAAAUGGAAUUUCUCUCCGACAAGAAGAAUAUCUUCAUACCUGGAAACAAGAAACUCCUCGAUCUGACUCGGCAGGGACUCUGAAGUUUAAACGAUCAGGAGCAAAUGGACUCCGGUUCGAUGUCGGUGAAAAGGCGACAAACGACAGCACAUCAGGGAUAUCUGCAAUGCAAAAUUCAGAUUCCUCCGCAGUCGAACACUCUGCUUCAACGCAGUGGAAGCCUUCAGGAAAAGGUCUACCCUCCUGGGGUGGUGUGUUACCUGGGACUCAUCAGGCAGACAAGGAAGAUGGAAAGCAACCACCAGUAAUUCCUGAAACUGAUGUUGAUGGAUUGGAUGGACAAACUGCCGUUCUCCUUCCCACGGCAGUACCAGUGCAUGAAGAAAAGAAUGAUCGGCGUAAUUCACCAAAGCCUCGGUUUGAUACCUUGAACGCAAAAACAUCUCUCUCAUCAGUUGUGCUCAAGACGCCACACCGAGAACUGACAAUAAGUCCAGAUGAAUCGGACUCGAGCUUCCACUGGACUAGAGAAGACACCUCCACUACACAAACAACAUAUGGCAAUAAACACGGGACCUUGGACCAACUUUUUUUGAGAACUAACCGAUCCGUUUCCACCAAAAUGACUCCGGGUGAAACAACAGAUGUUUUGGACCCUGUUGGAGUUGUAUCGAGAACAAACCAAUCUCGUGCAGUGUACUUUGAGGAAGAAGUGGACCUCAGCGAUACUGCUCCAGCGAUGCAUCAUGGAACAGAAGUGACUGACAUCAGUGAAGCCAUCAUGAAAUCUGAUAUUUCAACUGCGUCAUCUGGCGCGUCUUCAACCGAAUUUCCAGCCCUUGUGAUCCGAAUGGCCAGUGCAAGGCACAUCUUCCCAGGAGCAACAACCACAUCGGGCCAUGCGAGGAAAUCUCUUCCCUUGUCAACUCCAUCAAUGCUCACAAAGGCUUCAGAAGAAUGGGAAUUCUCAAAGGUUCCGACGACGACCCCUGGUUUUUCUACGACACACCAGCAUGACCGUACACUGGUGCUUCUCCCAGACCCUUGCACUCAUUGGAAUGAUUUCCAGCGGCACUUGGGCCUCUAUUGGAAAGCUUUGGCCUAUACCGAGGCCUCGGCCUACAUUGCUUUGACAGUUUUCACUCUGUUUGGCUUUCUCUGCUCAACUUGCAGACAUGGUCGUCAGUCUUGCUGCUAUGUUAAUGCAGCUUGUGCUUUCCUGUUCUUUUUGGGUGUUAGCCGGGCUGUCACGAUCCUGUGGGGUUGUAUCAUUCAUCGGUUUGUCGAAACUCUAUGGAGCCAGCUACUUUAUAAUGUCGGGUUCCCAUGCUUCUCGGCAGCUUUUGUUACAUCCCUUUUGGCACUUCUGAGGGUUGCAGAUGGUUGCUGUAAGGCCCUGGGACCUUCUCUGCUCCUUGCCACCUUUCCUCUACACUUCUUACUGUCCAUUAGUGCAGAUUUGGCUUGGGGCCUUCUAAUGGUUCAUGUUGUCCCAGCUACUUCCAGAGCAUUCUUUACAAUCUGGAUGGCCGUGCUCUGCUUGUUAACUUUCACACUCGCACGCCAUCUCGGACCAAAUGCACGGCCCAAACAAGGCAAAUUGGGAGUUGAAGGGCCAGCAUUGAAGCCUGAACCAUCUAGGGGACGGUGCCUGCUUCUCUCUGCUGCUUGUGUAGUGCUGCUUUGCUGUGGCCUGCAAGUUUACUCUCUCUUGAUUGCCUUACGUUCAUGGUUUCCAUUGCUUAUCUCACCUUAUUUUGGAAAUAACUACUGGGGUGUUCAUUUGGGGGUUCAUCUUGCAUACCAUAUAUUUGAGCUAGUCGCUGCUUUUCUCCUGGCUGCUGCUGUUUUGUCAAGGGUCUGCCAACACCACCGUGGUAACCUGCCACCUUCAACACCUGACGCAACCUGGCCAGGCACACUGAUCCAGGCUGGACCAUGCAAAAAGCCUGGAGAACAGGAGCUACCAAACAACCAACGCGCUAGUCUUUCGUGUACUCCUGACAUCCUGUUUAAACAAGGCAAUGAACAUGGCCGGAAUCUACUCCAGCCCUUCAGCAAUCAUUCCCCAUUGUCCUGCCAAGCCAGCUGCGAGCAGCCCCAUGGUUACUUGUGCCUUCCUGGUGAAGCCAUGCCACUAGCGAUCUCAUUUGUGGGAGAAAGUAAUGGCUGUGAGACACUGUCACUUUCAGACAUCGAGCUCCGACCACCUUCUCCUAUUGAUUUGUGCAAAUGCAUUGACGAAGCUUUGGGUUCGGUUGGCUCUCCUGACAGUCCAUUUCGGUCCCUCAGCUGGGACGAUGGACCUGCAGAAAGUACCGGAAAGGAAAAACGACUACGCGUUUCCUCUGUAGGAAGCUCAUGUGAGGAUGUCGAGGCACAUGUUUGUCGAUCUACUAAUACACUUCUACCUGCCAGUGGGAUAGACAACACCAAAGAAUUGUGGUGGUCACCUCAAAGAUCCAGCAUGGUUCCGCAUGAAUCGGGCUCAGAGAGAGAGACGGGGAAGUCUUGGUCUGAAAUGACACAUGUGACGGAUAUGCAACCACCAUCACCUCCUAGUCCCAGCUCCAGAGAGUUGCAGGAAAGCUUCAUUCAUAUUUGUCGUGAGGUUGACAGGCUGGUUCCAUGUGGUGACUCGGUUGAAAUGUAAAAUGUUCUUCAAUAUGAAUCGGAAUUGCUGAACAUCAUGUUCCAGGUUAUCAGUUGUUUUGCAUAACCCUUGUAUUGUGAAAUCUCUUGUUUUCUUUGCCUUUCUAAAGCUGUUACCAGCUUGAGGUGAAGUUGAACACAGUUCCAUCUCCAAUUCUAAAGCGCCAAAGUAAAUUAAUGUAGAUUAUGAUCGUUUUCCAACUCCAUUGUUGGAUGGGGUUUUAUCACGAUGAGACAAGGGUCCUUUUCAGGGUCCGAGGAUAGCCUGGGUUUCAUCCGAAGUUCUUGGAGUGGGGUCUUAGGAUAUCUCGGGUUUCGAUGAAAGUACUUCGUGUGGGGUCCUAAGAUAUCUUGGGUUUUGAGGGAAGUACUUGGUGUGGGGUACUAGGAUAGCCCGGGUUUAGACAGAAGUACUUGAUGUGGGAUCCUAGGAUAGCCUGGGUUUAGAUAGAAGUACUUGAUGUGGGGUUCUUGAAUAGCCCGGGUUUAGAUGGAAGUACUUGAUGUGGGGUCCUAGGAUAGCCCGGGUUUAGAUGGAAGUACUUUGUGUGGGGUCCUAGGAUAGCCUGGAUUUUGAUGGAAGUACUUUGCAUGGGGUCCUAGGAUAGCCCGAGUUGAGAUGGAAGUACUUUUGUGGGGUCCUAGGAUAGCCCGGGUUGAGAUGGAAGUACUUUGUGUGGGGUCCUAGGUUAGCCUGGAUUUUGAUGGAAGUACUUUGCAUGGGGUCCUAGGAUAGCCCGGGUUGAGAUGGAAGUACUUUUGUGGGGUCCUAGGAUAGCCUGGGUUUAGAUGGAAGUACUUUGCAUGGGGUCCUAGGAUAGCCCGGGUUUAGAUGGAAGUACUUUGUGUGGGGUCCUAGGAUAGCCUGGAUUUGUGUCAAGCUUUCGGGUCAACUAUGAUCCAGGCUUUCGGUGAGAUCUUCGAUGCUGCUGUCCUGUCUGUGUCUGUUUGUGGUGAGGAUGUUGAGGUCGUGGAGAGAUUCACUUACCUUGGCAGUGAUAUUCACGUCUCUGCUGGCUGUGAGUCAGAGGUCAAUAGACGUCUGGGUCGGGCCUGGGGAGUCAUGGAUUCACUGGAUCAUGGAGUGUGGCGCUGCCGGUACCUGUGCGGGAGGACGAAAGUCCGAGUGUUCAGGUCCUUGGUACUUCCAUUCUUGCUCUAUGGAUGUGAGACUUGGACUCUGACCAAGGAUCUGAGAUGGAGACUUAAUUCCUUUGGUACCAGGUCUCUUCG